rnacentral:rRNA from 1 species
UACGUAGGGUGCGAGCGUUGUCCGGAAUUACUGGGCGUAAAGAGCUCGUAGGUGGUUUGUCGCGUUGUUCGUGAAAACUCACAGCUUAACUGUGGGCGUGCGGUCGAUACGGGCAUCACUGGAGUUCGGCAGGGGAGACUGGAAUUCCUGGUGUAGCGGUGAAAUGCGCAGAUAUCAGGAGGAACACCGGUGGCGAAGGCGGUUCUCUGGGACGGUACUGACGCUGAGACGCGAAAGCGUGGGGAGCGAACAGG